AGUGAACGCUGGCGGUAGGCCUAACACAUGCAAGUCGAACGGCAGCACAGUAAGAGCUUGCUCUUACGGGUGGCGAGUGGCGGACGGGUGAGGAAUACAUCGGAAUCUACUUUUUCGUGGGGGAGAACGAAGGGAAACUUACGCUAAUACCGCAUAGGACCUACGGGUGAAAGCAGGGGAUCUUCGGACCUUGCGCGAUUGAAUGAGGCGAUGUCGGAUUAGCGAGUUGGCGGGGUAAAGGCCCACCAAGGCGACGAUCCGGAGCUGGUCUGAGAGGAUGAUCAGCCACACGGGAGCUGAGACACGUUCCCGCCGCGUACGGGAGGCAGCAGCGGGGAGUAUCAGACAAUGGGAGCAAGGCUCAUCCAGCCAUACCGCGUGGGUGAAGAAGGGCUUCGGGUUGUACAGCCCUUUUGUUGGGAAAGAAAAGCAGCCGGUUAAUACCCCGCUGUUCUGACGGUACCCAAAGAAUAAGCACCGGCUAACUUCGU
rnacentral:rRNA from 1 species